rnacentral:tRNA from 1 species
CAGCGGUGUGCGGCGGAACUCAACCAGGGUGGUUCUGGUCCUCCCGGGGGCGCAUCGUCAUCCGUUCGAGGCCGGAACCGUGGCC